rnacentral:lncRNA from 1 species
AUGCAGGGUAUUGAUAGAUGGAUCUCAUCGAUACCCCCACUGCAUAACCAUAGUGCAGUGAAUAGAAGACACUUCUCUGCACCCCAAAAGCUCCAUGCUGAUUGCGAGAAGGAAAUGCUGGAUGGAGGGGUUCCUGGAACUACUGUGAGGUCUUUUGAUUUCUCCUGCUUAGAAAUGGUAACAGAACUUUGGAUGUGGAACGUGCAGUAGGAGUUACACGAAGUGCGGGUCUGCACUUGGGGUGGUCAGCACGGCGGAUGCCCAGCAAACGCACUGCCUGGUCCACAUCCCGGAGUGGUCUCUACGCCCCAGUCGGCAUCGCAGCUGAUGGUGAAACUUUUGGUGUGGCAGAAGAGUGUCCACAAACUUUGGAAGAUCGCUGUUCAGAGUGAUGGAUGGAGUUGUAUUUUGAAUAAAAUAGCUAAGCAUCCUUUUGUGAGCAAGGAGCAUGAUGGUACU